rnacentral:tRNA from 1 species
GAGGGUAGAGCUCAGGGGUAGAGCGCGUGCUUAGCAUGCACGAGGUCCUGGGUUCGCUCCCCAGGCCCUCC